rnacentral:rRNA from 3 species
UGACCUCGGAUCAGGUAGGAAUACCCGCU